rnacentral:rRNA from 1 species
GAUGAACGCUGGCGGCGUGCCUAAUACAUGCAAGUCGAGCGAACAGACGAGGAGCUUGCUCCUUCGACGUUAGCGGCGGACGGGUGAGUAACACGUAGGUAACCUACCUAUAAGACUGGGAUAACUUCGGGAAACCGGAGCUAAUACCGGAUAAUAUUUCGAACCGCAUGGUUCGAUAGUGAAAGAUGGCUUUGCUAUCACUUAUAGAUGGACCUGCGCCGUAUUAGCUAGUUGGUAAGGUAACGGCUUACCAAGGCAACGAUACGUAGCCGACCUGAGAGGGUGAUCGGCCACACUGGAACUGAGACACGGUCCAGACUCCUACGGGAGGCAGCAGUAGGGAAUCUUCCGCAAUGGGCGAAAGCCUGACGGAGCAACGCCGCGUGAGUGAUGAAGGUCUUCGGAUCGUAAAACUCUGUUAUUAGGGAAGAACAAACGUGUAAGUAACUGUGCACGUCUUGACGGUACCUAAUCAGAAAGCCACGGCUAGCUACGUG